GGGGGGUGCAAGCGUUGUUCGGAUUUAUUGGGCGUAAAGCGCGUGUAGGCGGUUUGUUAAGUCUGUUGUGAAAGCCCUGGGCUCAACCCGGGAAGUGCACUGGAUACUGUCAGACUAGAAUACGGGAGAGGGUAGUGGAAUUCCUGGUGUAGGAGUGAAAUCCGUAGAUAUCAGGAGGAACACCCGUGGCGAAGGCGGCUACCUGGACCGAUAUUGACGCUGAGACGCGAAAGCGUGGGUAGCAAACAGGAUUAGAUACCCUGGUAGUCCACGCCGUAAACGAUGAGUACUAGGUGUUGCGGGUAUUGACCCCUGCAGUGCCGCAGCUAACGCAUUAAGUACUCCGCCUGGGAAGUACGGUCGCAAGACAA
rnacentral:rRNA from 1 species